rnacentral:rRNA from 1 species
UACGAAGGGGGCUAGCGUUGUUCGGAAUCACUGGGCGUAAAGGGCGCGUAGGCGGCCGCUCAAGUUGGGGGUGAAAGCCUGUGGCUUAACCACAGAAUUGCCUUCGAUACUGUUUGGCUUGAGACCGGAAGAGGUGAGUGGAACUGCGAGUGUAGAGGUGAAAUUCGUAGAUAUUCGCAAGAACACCAGUGGCGAAGGCGGCUCACUGGUCCGGUUCUGACGCUGAGGCGCGAAAGCGUGGGGAGCAAACAGG